rnacentral:rRNA from 1 species
UACGGAAGGCAGCAGUGGGGAAUAUUGCACAAUGGGCGCAAGCCUGAUGCAGCCAUGCCGCGUGUAUGAAAAAGGCCUUCGGGUUGUAAAGUACUUUCAGUCGUGAGGAAGGUGUUAAGGUUAAUAACCUUAGCAAUUGACGUUAGCGACAGAAGAAGCACCGGCUAACUCCGUGCCAGCAGCCGCGGUAAUACGGAGGGUGCGAGCGUUAAUCGGAAUUACUGGGCGUAAAGGGCACGCAGGCGGUUAAUUAAGUUGGAUGUGAAAUCCCCGGGCUUAACCUGGGAAUGGCAUUCAAGACUGGUUAGCUAGAGUCUUGUAGAGGGGGUAGAAUUCCAUGUGUAGCGGUGAAAUGCGUAGAGAUGUGGAGGAAUACCGGUGGCGAAGGCGGCCCCUGGGACAAAGACUGACGCUCAUGUGCGAAAGCGUGGGGAGCAAACAGGGAUUAGAUAC